ACCUUGUUACGACUUCACCCCAGUCAUGAACUUACCCCAGAACCACGCCCUAAACGAUGUCAACUAGCUGUUGGGGCCUUCGGGCCUGGUAGCGCAGCUAACGCGUGAAGUUGACCGCCUGGGGAGUACGGUCGCAAGAUUAAAACUCAAAAGGAUUCGACGGACCCGCACAAGCGGUGGAUGAUGUGGAUUAAUUCGAUGCAACGCGAAAACCUUACCUACCCUUGACAUAAGGUCUGGAAUCCCGAAGAGAUUUGGGAGUGCUCGCAAGAGAACCGGAACACAGGUGCUGCAUGGCUGUCGUCAGCUCGUGUCGUGAGAUGUUGGGUUAAGUCCCGCAACGAGCGCAACCCUUGUCAUUAGUUGCUACGAAAGGGCACUCUAAUGAGACUGCCGGUGACAAACCGGAGGAAGGUGGGAUGUCAAGUCCUUCAUGGCCCUUAUGGGUAGGCUUCAAUGUCAUACAAAUGGUCGACAGGUCGCCAACUCCAAGAGGGGGAGCCAAUCCCAGAAACCCGAUCGUAGUCCGGAUCGCAGUCUGCACCUGACUGCGUGAAGUCGGAAUCGCUAGUAAUCGCGGAUCAGCAUGUCGCGGUGAAUACGUUCCCGGGUCUUGUACACACCGCCCGUCACACCAUGGGAGUGGGUUUUACCAGAAGUAGUUAGCCUAACCGUAAGGAGGGCGAUUACCACGGUAGAGGACUGGGGUGAAGUCGUAACAAGGU
rnacentral:misc_RNA from 1 species